rnacentral:rRNA from 1 species
GUUAUUGUUUAUUUGAUACAACAAAUGGAUAACUGUAGAAAAACUAGAGCUAAUACAUGCUUUAACCGCAAGGUUGUAUUUAUUAGAUAUUCCGGAUUGGUGAAUCAUAAUAACUUCACAAAUCUCGUUUAUGACAAGAUAAAUCAUCCAAGUUUCUGCCCUAUCAUGCUUUCAAUGGUAGUGUAUUGGACUACCAUGGCUCUCACGGGUAACAGGGAAUUAGGGUUCGAUUCUGGAGAAGGAGCCUGAGAAACGGCUACUACAUCUACGGAAGGCAGCAGGCACGAAAAUUACCCAAUCCUGACUCAAGGAGGUGGUGACGAGAUAUAACAACGCGAUCAAAAUCGCGAUUGUAGUGAGGGUAUUCUAAACAGAACCUAUAGUACGAUUAGAGGGCAAGUCUGGUGCCAGCAGCCGCGGUAAUUCCAGCUCUAAUAGCGUAUAUUAAAGUUGCUGCACUUAAAAAGCUCGUAGUUGGAUUUCAAGGACUGUAGACCCCUCUGGGGAAUACAUCCUACUAGUCAUUGACUGUUACUGUGAGAAAAUUA